rnacentral:rRNA from 1 species
AGAGUUUGAUCAUGGCUCAGGACGAACGCUGGCGGCGUGCCUAACACAUGCAAGUCGAACGGGGGUAGCAAUACCUCAGUGGCGAACGGGUGCGUAACACGUGAAGAACUUGUCCUUCGGCGGGGGAUAGCCGGCCCAACGGCCGGGUAAUACCGCGUACGCCGGCGAGACCGCAUGGUCUUGCCGGGAAAGCAGCAAUGCACCGAUGGAGAGCUUCGCGGCCUAUCAGCUAGUUGGCGGGGUAAUGGCCCACCAAGGCGACGACGGGUAGCUGGUCUGAGAGGAUGAUCAGCCACAUUGGGACUGAGACACGGCCCAGACUCCUACGGGAGGCAGCAGUGGGGAAUAUUGCGCAAUGGGCGAAAGCCUGACGCAGCGACGCCGCGUGUGGGAUGACGGCCUUCGGGUUGUAAACCACUGUCGCGAGGGACGAAACAAAUGACGGUACCUCGAAAGGAAGCACCGGCUAACUCUGUGCCAGCAGCCGCGGUAAUACA